GGCGGGAGAGUCCUGCAGCAGCGAACCACCGACGCCGCGGGCGCCGUAGGAGCAAACCCUCCCCGGGAAUCUCUCAGGCCCCUGUACCGCC
rnacentral:ncRNA from 1 species